GCAAACUUGGUCAUUUAGAGGAAGUAAAAGUCGUAACAAGGUUUCCGUAGGUGAACCUGCGGAAGGAUCAUUAUUGAAUGAAUAUAGAGUUGGUUGUUGCUGGCUUUCAGGCAUGUGCACACCUUCUCUUUUCAUCCACACACACCUGUGAACUUGUGAGGCAGGAAUGGAGAAAGUAGGGCCUUAAUUGGCUUGAAUAUUCUUUCCUGCCUACUUAAUUACACAAACUCAUUUUUUUUUUAAAUUGAAUGUAAUUGAUGUAACGCAUCAUUUAAUACUAAGUUUCAACAACGGAUCUCUUGGCUCUCGCAUCGAUGAAGAACGCAGC
rnacentral:misc_RNA from 1 species